UGAGCAGGGAUAGUGUGUAUCGGUGUUGUGCUGUGUUCAAUGCACUCUUCCGAAAGAGUUCUCUGCAACAUCGUUUUGAGAAAGUGGGCAGUUGUGUUUCAUCCAUUUAUUGAAAAUCACAACAAUCAUUUUCCCUACAUCU
rnacentral:snoRNA from 1 species